GCUACGGGAGGCAGCAGUGGGGAAUAUUGCACAAUGGGGGAAACCCUGAUGCAGCCACGCCGCGUGAGUGAUGAAGGAUUUCGGUAUGUAAAUCUCUAUCAGCAGGGAAGAAAAUGACUGUACCUGAUUAAGUAUCCACGGCUAACUACGUCCCAGCAGCCGCGGUAACACGUAGGGGGCAAGCGUUAUCCGGAUUUACUGGGUGUAAAGGGAGUUUAGUCGGCAGCACAGGUCUGAAGUGAAAUGGCGGGGCUCAACCCCGGAACUGCUUUUGAAACUGUGAGGCUAGAGUGCAGGAGAGGUAAGCGGAAUUCCUGGUGUAGCGGUGAAAUGCGUAGAUAUUAGGAGGAACACCAGUGGCGAAGGCGGCUUACUGGACUGUAACUGACGCUGAGGCUCGAAAGCGUGGGGAGCAAACAGGAUUAGAUACCCUAGUAGUC
rnacentral:rRNA from 1 species